GAUGAACGCUGGCGGCGUGCUUAACACAUGCAAGUCGAACGAUGAAGCCCAGCUUGCUGGGUGGAUUAGUGGCGAACGGGUGAGUAACACGUGAGUAACCUGCCCUUAACUCUGGGAUAAGCCUGGGAAACUGGGUCUAAUACCGGAUAGGAGCGUCCACCGCAUGGUGGGUGUUGGAAAGAUUUAUCGGUUUUGGAUGGACUCGCGGCCUAUCAGCUUGUUGGUGAGGUAAUGGCUCACCAAGGCGACGACGGGUAUCCGGCCUGAGAGGGUGACCGGCCACACUGGGACUGAGACACGGCCCAGACUCCUACGGGAGGCAGCAGUGGGGAAUAUUGCACAAUGGGCGCAAGCCUGAUGCAGCGACGCCGCGUGAGGGAUGACGGCCUUCGGGUUGUAAACCUCUUUCAGUAGGGAAGAAGCGAAAGUGACGGUACCUGCAGAAGAAGCACCGGCUAACUACGUG
rnacentral:rRNA from 1 species